GGGGAAUCUUGCGCAAUGGGCGAAAGCCUGACGCAGCGACGCCGCGUGGGGGAUGAAGGCCUUCGGGUUGUAAACCCCUGUCAGGCGGAACGAAUCCCCCGAGGACGAAUAAUCCUUGGGGUUGACGGUACCGCCAGAGGAAGCCCCGGCUAACUACGUGCCAGCAGCCGCGGUAAGACGUAGGGGGCCAGCGUUGCUCGGAAUAACUGGGCGUAAAGGGUCCGUAGGCGGUGCAGCAAGUCGGGAGUGAAAUCUCUGGGCUUAACUCAGAGACUGCUUCCGAAACUGCUGUGCUCGAGUGCGAGAGAGGCGAGUGGAAUUGCAGGUGUAGCGGUGAAAUGCGUAGAUAUCUGCAGGAACACCAGAGGCGAAAGCGGCUCGCUGGAUCGCAACUGACGCUGAGGGACGAAAGCUAGGGGAGCAA
rnacentral:rRNA from 1 species